rnacentral:rRNA from 1 species
GACGAACGCUGGCGGCGUGCUUAACACAUGCAAGUCGAACGAUGAAACCUAGCUUGCUAGGUCGAUUAGUGGCGAACGGGUGAGUAACACGUGACUAACCUGCCCCUUUCUCUGGGAUCACGCUUCGAAAGGAGUGCUACUACCGGAUACUCACAUCGAGGCACAUGCCUUGAUGUGGAAAGUUUUUCGGAAAGGGAUGGAGUCGCGGCCUAUCAGCUGGUUGGUGAGGUAACGGCUCACCAAGGCGACGACGGGUAGCCGGCCUGAGAGGGCGACCGGCCACACUGGGACUGAGACACGGCCCAGACUCCUACGGGAGGCAGCAGUGGGGAAUAUUGCACAAUGGGCGCAAGCCUGAUGCAGCGACGCCGCGUGAGGGAUGAAGGUCUUCGGAUUGCAAACCUCUUUCAGUAGGGACGAAGCGAAAGUGACGGUACCUAAAGAAGAAGCACCGGCUAACUACGUGCCAGCAGCCGCCGUAA